rnacentral:lncRNA from 1 species
CUCAACUUAUUUAUUGAUAACAAAUAAAAAUUUUUAUAAGUUACUGAUUAUUCAUCGAUCAUAAAAUCAAAAUUUUUAUUGGUCACAACUCAUUUAUUCACUACAAAUUAUUUAAUUAAUUGGUCAUAAUUAAUUUUUUGAUCAUAACUUAAUCAAUUGUGAGGGACAGUCAAAACUUUUAGAUCACGUAAUACAAAUUAACCAAUUAUUGGUCAUGAGCAUCCAACCCCAUCUCAAGCAGUCAUCGCCGCAGUCGCCACCACCAACCACGCCGCCGCCGUGACUACAGCCAUACUCCACCGCGACUACAGCUACACCCUAACAUGACUACAAGUAGCACCACCACACCCUAAACAAAUUCACCACCAUUGUCAUACCUCAUCACCACUACGAGUUAACAUGAAAACCCCCACAAAGCAAAUCUAAUCGAGCUGAAGAUUGAUGUCGCCAUUGCUAAAAACCAUGAUAGCAUGAAAAUUCGGGAAUCCAGAUUUUAUUAUCGUGUCGUAAGAAAAAAAACGAAUCACCGCCGCCAUCGCCAAUAAAACCACCCCAACAUCACCACACCACCAACAAAAACUAGCCCAAAAACUUCGACGCUUAACCAAUAGAUCUAACAUCAUCGGCACUCAACCACUGCAAUACCUCUUAGCCAUCCAAUGACCUUGUGCGCAAUAGCCCUUCAUGUGGCUGUAAUGGUCGCCAGCGUCUCGACAUCGCACGGCUAUGUUGGUUUCUUCAAAGUGACGGGCUACAGCAUUAUCUUCGUAGUGGGGCUACUGCUUCAGAUCGACGUCACUAGAUGGUCGCCUGUUGAGCACGAUGGAAACGACAACUACGUCUUCGUCAAAGAAGAGAAAGUGAGGAUAGAGAGAGAAACAAGAUAGGAGAGGGAUGAAGAGAGAGGAAUGAAAUGAGAAAUUAAUUAGGGUUUGUGAUAAAUUUUGUAUUAUAAUAUUUAAUAUUUAAAUAUAAAACGUUUGAUUUUUG